GAUUACUUUAUAUUUGGUGUCAGACGUGUUUAAAAAGGAGGCCGAAAAGGGAAAUAAGAACCGUGAGACCAAUUUGGUAUUCUGGGAGUUACUCACUGAAAAUACAGAGGAGUCGUCAGAAGGCUAAAUUUAAAAUAAUACGUACUUCGCAAAAAAAAUAACUUUUCUUGAAACAUGCAAGGUUUGCUGUUGAUGCAACAGUCUUGAUUAAACACCUGGUCAACUUAUCUUUUUGAAACGCUUAAGUGCUCCUUUCUACUAUUUACGUAUACUCAGUGGAGCAAGGUCAUGUGAAGAUCUUUAUUAACUCCUCUUCAGUCUUGCGUGGAAUUUUAAACUCUGAAAGGGAACAGAAAGUUUGCAACAUCGUCAUAAGAUUCUGCAACUGAGCAAGCAUCUAGUCUCCCUGCAUGCAGCCUCAUCUCAUGGAGCCUUCAGUCAACUGUAGACCGUGAAAUUCGGGUUCCGGUUGUGGCAUAUAAGAACAUGAGAACUGUGAAGAAGUCGAUAUGUCGCCGGACUAAAAGUGACAAAUAAGGUCCUUAUUCGCCGUUGCGCAUCUUAAUCGACCAUUUUCUGGUCAUUUCGAUAUGGACUAGCGCUCUGAAACUGUUUCAACAAAUAGCAGACGAUACUGGGAGUUCCACUGAAGUUGUAUUCACCUGUGCCUGUAUUUGCCGGCACCCAAUCUAACGAUAAUUCUCCAUCUCAUUCCGUCAUCGAUACGUUCGUGGUUACUCAUUUAAUGUGACACGUUAUAAAAUUUCCCCAAGUCUUGAGAGAAUCACGGUGAAUGUCGAAAGCGUACAGGCAUGCUAAUCGCUGGAAACCCUCGUGAGCUUAUAUCGCCUCCUCAAUCACAAGUUCACACAUGCUCAUGUAUGUUUAUAUAUUCGACUCUGAAUACUUCGCAUUUGACUUUACACAAUUUUUCGACGGCAUAAUUAGUACCUUAAUACUUUAAUAUUUUUCGUAAAAUUAGAGAUACUUUCUAAAUUCUCUUAAUUUUGCACAUGAGUGCAUUUGAACCAUGAACUUAUCAUAAUUAUUAACAAUAAAAUAGAAUGUAUUCUCGUUUGAGUUUAGUUAGUUUUUCACAGUUAUUCAUUGCUGAAACUGCAAACAUAAGAGUGCGUCUGAACUUUUUAGCAUUUUAUACGGUAUGUUAUCUAACAGCAUGUACGACCAUUUAAUAAGUAUACAAGUUUGUUUUAAAUCAAUGUUUUCUAAACUGAGAAUGGCGUCAAAGGAACAAUGAAAUUCGUCUUCGAAAUUCAGCUAUCUGAGAAAUACUUUAUCUUGGCAAAAAACCACGAAACACAAACUGUUGAUUAGAAAAAGGCUGCCAUAUCGUCUUAUAAAUACAAACAAUUUUGCUUACGGUAUUCAGAUGGCUAAAGUAUAGAGCAGGAAAUAUAAAGAAGCAUUUAAAAGCUGAGCGUGUCUAAAGAUCUCCUAGAACAAAUGUGAACUUUUUAAUAUUGUAAGGUAGUUUUUUAAUAUUGUAAGGUAGUUAAAGCUCAAUGGAACAGGUAGACAAAAAAUUGAAAGUUUUAAAAUGUAGAUAGUUAUGCAAUUAUUUUUCUAUAUUAGCUCGUACAGCAAUGCGUUCCACGACAUUUUCUGUGAUAAAAAUUAGAAAAUUAAUAUAUCUAAUACCAUUAUUAAUUACUUAAAAUAGCACCUCAGAAGACUGGCUAUUUGCUUUGUCCAGAUAAAUCACCAAAAUUAAAUACCAUAUGAAGAAUUUCCGUUAUCACAUUGAAAAAGCAGUCAGUUUUUCUGAUUCUCACGCAGUAGAUUAGUUAGUUAAUUAGUUAACUCUGUUGAACACCCAUUAACACCUGAAAUUUUGCAAUGUCAAGAAUUCAAGAGAACUCUUACUUUAAAUGGGAAACAAAUCGUUCUCCAAAGGAUGCCUGGCCAUUGUGGCCUUUGGAGCAAUGAACAACCGGACUUCCUUGCACUUACGACAACAUCUUAAUGCAGCCAUUUCUUAUUGAAGGAUUAAAGUGUUUUUAAAAAAGUUAUUUACAUCUAAUAUCUUAUGAGAUUUUCAUACUCGUACAGCCUUAAAAAGUUGGUCUCUUAUACCCGAUAGUUCAAGACGCAAUGCAGGUGAGGCUUUCCGUCUGUCUACAGGAUAUGAUUGCCUUGCGCUCGCACCGUAUAGGCAUUUCAAACGAUCCUAUUUGCCCAGUUUGUGAUUCUGGAGAAGAAAUGGACAAGGUACCACUCAUCACAUGUGGAGCUCUUUGUGGUCUUACAGAAGAGUGGAGAUACUGGGAGGCAAGAAUGCUCUUUAUGCAAUGACUAAAUCUUUUUGUUCUUAGUUCUGCUGUUUGUAACCUCUAUUUAUAAGAAUUUAGACCUUUGUAACUUUUUGCCUAGCCAUUGGAAAUAAUAAAAAACUAUAAUAUUCAAA